UCCCUGGUGAUCCAGUAGUUAAGAAUCUGUCUUCUGAAGCAGGGGAUGUAGGUUUGAUUCCUGCUCAGGGAA
rnacentral:tRNA from 1 species